AGCAGCUGCCAAAGCCAUUUUGCUUUGGAGAGUCUCCUCCUUCCUUACCUGCACUUUAGGGAUUACCCCACCUCUGUUUGCUUAACUAAUGAGACAAUAAAUGCAGUAAUGUGUUGAUGUUAUAGAUUGUUUCUUGGGGAUAAUCUUGGCUAAAUGUGUAUCUAAAAGAUAAUUUUUUUAUUGUAACAGUUUGGUAUCUGAAUGGGUUUCUAAAGCAUUGCACUAUCUUGCAGUUAAAAGUUGGGUUUAAGCAAUUGUUUAGUUUGAUUUCUGAUAGUUCAUGCUAGAAAACUUAAAUACUUAGGGUAAAAAAAUUAGAAAGUUUCAAUUUUGAACUGGGUAGCCUGAGAAAAUUCCACUAGGUAUUCCAGUGCAUUAACUUGGGCAAAGAUAAUAAAUUAUGAUAUGAUAUCUGUUCCCCUCAGUGUGUAAGAUUCAGAAAAAAAAAAGGGGGGGGGUGCUAAAUUAAAACGUUGGUCUGGCUUAUUGAAAUGACAUUAAUUAGCAACAGUCUUGGAAAUUUUUAAGGCUUGAUUUUGGAUAUACAUGAUAAAACUUAAUACUACCUUAGGAACUUCAGAACAAAGGAAGCAGCUUAAUGAUCCUGAGGAAAUUUCCUCUGAUGGUGGCCUUUAUAUUAUCAGAAAAAGAUCCUAUUUUCAGUUUUGUGUGGGCAAGUGUUUCUAAUGUAAAGAGAUAUAAAGAUAUAAAAUUUUGAAAAUUGUAUCUUAAACCUGAAAAUUAUGACUUAUAGCUAAAAUGACUUAUAGCUAUUAUGACUUAUAGCUAUAAUGCUGAGGUUUCUGCUCAGAAUUCCAGUUUUCCCAGUUCCUUCCAGACCUCAGCCAGGACUUAAGCUGAUAUGCAAAUAGAAGAAGCUUGGGGCACUCAGCAGGAGACAGAUUUCAGGCCCAAGGGAAAAAAAAAAAAAGGUUAAAGUGUCUUUUUACCUGAACUCAAACUAGACCCCAACCAAAAAGUAAAUUAUAUGCUAUUUAUUAAUUACUGGCCAGUCAUCUUUUUUAGGACUCUUGCUUUUUCUUAGAUUCUGUAUUUUUUUUGGAGCUUAUGAUUUUAAUCCCACAGACGGGUUAAUGUUUUCUGAUCAGUUCUAUUUCUGAUCAACUGUGGAGUUUUUAAACAUUGCAAUGGAGAUUUCACCUGAAAAAGCUACAAGGGUGUUACACUUGUGUUAUGUGUUGUAUGUCGGUAUGUCUGUAUGUGUGUAUCUCCAUAUAUCCUGCAGUGAUAUGACAAUUGACAGAUGAGGAGCGCUCAUAAAAAAAUUUAAAAAUGGAUCCAAAUAUCUUUGAUUCACGUGAUUCAAAUGGUUCAAUUUAAAUUGGGUAAACAGAUAAAAUGAUGGUGUCUAUAAAAUAAUCUGCUUAAAUUCAGAAAUUUACAGAUAUUGUUUUAAAGUGUGAACAAAAGGAGGUUAACAGAUGGAAAAGAAAAACUAGAAAGUUUUAGGUAUGGAUUUAAUAGAGGGAAAAUGUGUUUCUGGAUAAGAGAGUCUAUGUGAUUAAGUAAUUAAGAGGGUUUAAAUAAGUGAUAAAAAGGUCUGUGUAAGUUGGUUAUAUGUGUAAGUUUUUGAGCAAGUAAUCUUAAAGAAAUUAAAAAUUAUACAACUAUGGUUAAACAACAACUGUUAUUUUUCAGUACUUUUCUUGUGCUCUCUUACUCUGUAUAGUGUUCUUCCAAAACCAAUUGCAGAAAGUUUCUAAUUAGACUUUCAACCAGCUUCUGCUUAGGCACUACCGGCCUCUGACGACCGAUGAACCCCUAGCAUCUUCAAGAGAACAGUUCACUCAGUGCUGAAGCUCACUACCAAGCAUGAUGAAAUGCAAUGGACAUCAGACAGUGGGAGACAACAAGUUCGGAGAAUCUCAUAAUCUGCCAUCCUGGAUUCAUGAGUCUUUAUGUCCUUCUGAGCUUCCUCAUGGCCCUUGGUCUCUUUUCUGUCAGUCCCCCCAGCAUGGAACUUCUGCCAAAAAUUGACCUUUGCUUUAAUCUUUAUCUUCAUUCUGUUUUUAUUCGCUCUGAUUUUCUUCAGGUGCUGGUAACGCCAACUUGGCGCCUAUCUGGAAGAACUUACUAAUAAACGGGUUGCCUGCCACUUAUCUAAGCCCUACCAUCUCCCCCUUAGUUCUAUAUAAGCACACAGCUUUUUGCAAGGUUAAUUAUAGUGCUGUUAAUGUGUUCAUAUCUUCCAGGUAUACAAGUCUGUAAGGUAGAAGCUUCAAAAGAACAUUAUAUCGAGCUGGUGUUCUAAAGUUGUAUGGUAAUUUUAGGCUUAAAAGAAAAAAAAACAUGUUGGAGAUUUAUUCAUAUCAUUUGUGUUCUACAACUGGACUUGUUAUCAAUAAGAUAUGUACGGUCCCAUGUUACUUUCUACUCUGAGAUACAAUUUAUGUAUUUUUAAGUUAAUGAGAGCCUAAUCUGUGUGAAGGUUUUAUUGCAAAACACAAAAGUACAUUACUACUUUUCUACAAGAGGUUAAAAGCUUUCAGCCUUUAAUUCAUGUUUUAAAUGUGAUAUUAUGUUGUGUUAGCUAAUGUUCAUGUAAACUUGAACAACAAUUUAUGUAAACUUUGUAAAAUGAUCAGCUUCAGAACUAUAGUACUUGAGAUUUAUAAAGAGCCCUGCCUUACUUGAGAUAAGGCUCUGUCNGAAGCUGCUAUGAAGUUCCCCGAGGACUCCCAGGGAAACUCAGCUGACUGUUGACAAUAGAUAAGAACAAAAGUCAGUUUGACUUGCUUCAUCUUAAACACUUAGCAAAGAUAGUUAAAGCCAAAGCACAGCUGUUCCUAGACAUUUUAAAUGAUAAUAAUAAUUAAAUGUAACUUCCAAAAAUAAGUAAACUGGAGGCUACAAAAGAGAUUCUCAGACAGGAAUGUCUGAUAACUAUUAAAAGGAACUGCCAGAGUAGUUUUUAGUUUAAGGCCCACAGAUAUUCCUAACCUAUACAGGUAGGCUUGGUGUUUGCUAGUAUGGUUAUCCAGCCCUAAGUAGCAAAAUUAAAGGUUUCUCUAUUAGACUAUAUCUUAAAGGAAAAGGACAUCUGUAAAACUAAAUGUUAGUUGUUGUGUUUACAUCCCCGACAUUUCUGGCAAGGUGACAAAGGUCCUUAAAGAUUUACAUGCUCAGAUAGAAGCCAUGUCCUCAGCAACUUUGUCGUGGAAACAAUAUCUUAGCUCCUGGUUCUUGGUACUUCCUGGUGAAAAACAUUGUUAGUCUCUGUCUUGGCCAUUAUACUCAUUGGCAUAUUCCUGUGCUGUGACAUUUAUUGCUGCAUCAAUAUGGUUCCAGUAAAUUAAUGAAUUCUUGUUUCUCUUAUAGACCACCUAUCACUAGAAUGGCCCUCCAGCCUAAUACUUCUCAAUUGGACUUUUAUCAUGGACCACGCGAUAGACCCGAUAUUUUUAAAGGGGGACUCCAAACUGCUUGCCCCACACCGUCCCUUUUCAGCCUGAAGAAGCCGGAAAGAUUCUCUUCACCCCCCCUUCCUUACAGCAGUAAGGAGUUCCCAAAUUAGAGGGGGAAUUGAAGCCAGAUUUUAAGUUAGGUAGUCAGUGUAGUUAGAUAAAUCGGGGUCUAAUAUCGAGUGGAAUCUAAAAUGGAGGCCAUGCUGAAAAUGAUUCCAGGGAACGCAAACAACUCAUGAAAUGUGAAACCCUUCAAUAAUUGUGAUGCAUUACUUUUAAGAUUAAAAGUAGUCAGAAAAAGGAGUGGGGAAUGUAAGGGUAAAAGAAAUUGAAGUUAAAGCGUAAAAGUUAAAGGGUAAAAGACCGGGUGUUGUAAAGUUUCUAAGCUGCAAGGUCUGAGUUAAAAUGUAAAGGAUUAGGUAUUGUUAGG
rnacentral:lncRNA from 1 species